UUUUCAGAUAUAGUACAACAAAAAACCUUUAAUUAUUUCAGUUUAAAGUGUUUAAUGUUGUCUUAUAUAUUUUUUCCAGAAUUAUUUUACCCUAAUCAUUUUUAAGCCAUAAAUUAAUAUCAUCAUCUCAUGGUCUUGCUUGUUGCAGAAACAGUCUAUGGUCCUUCUGGUUUUCACGAUCCUUUAGGUUAUUUUAUCUGCUUUAUUUUUAACAUUUAAUUAAGCUUUUGUUCACAAUUUUUUCUCUUCAAAAGUUUUAUUUGUGUUGUCCAGGAAUAUAUUCUGUCCACACCUUAUCAUCUUGUCACCAUUAUUAAGUUUCCUGUGAUAAAUGUCUAAUUUGCCCAUAUAUGGGCAUAGUGAUGUCAUGUCACACCCAUAUAUGGGAAAAUCAAAUGUACUGAUCACACGGCCAGAUUUAUUAGUCACACCAAGCAAAGAACAUGUGCCAAAUUCAGAAAGUGUCUUGUUUAAGAUGAAAAUUAUUGUGCUAUUGGAAGGACAUACUCUGUACUAGAAUACAUUUGUAAGAAUGAUAGGUCAAAAACACAGUAUUGAAAUGUUAAUUUGAAUAUGCCUGUAAACCUACAAUAAUCAUGGAAGCAGCCAACAUGCAGGAAAAUUAGGAAUAAAAAAAAUUCACAAGAAAUUGUGCACAGUACUCUCAUUGCGACAUGUAAGUAUCAAGUGCAAUGGCGCAUGUGCAAUAAAUCACUGUAUCUGCAUUUUUUUUUUUUAGCCAAAACUAUUAUCUAACUCAAGAUGAUGUGAAGAUUGCUUUAUUACGGUAAAUAAAGCCCUGUCCAAACUAUCAAAUUUUGUUUGAAAAUAACAUGUGACAUGCCUAAAUAUGGUCAUGAUGACAUCACAUAACUAAUUUUGGGCACAAAUCAGUUUUUUUUUAAAGAAAAUUUGACUGGUUAGAGUUUAAAGUGGAUUUAUUUCAACUUACAUCACAUGAUGCCAUUGAUGAAGACAAUACACAACUUUAGGUUUCAUUACUCGUAUAUUUAUUCAAAGCCAUCACAUGACUAAAUAUGGGCACAGAUCAGUUUUUUGUUAAAGAAAAUUUGACUGGUUAGAGUUUAAAGUGGAUUUAUUUCAACUUACAUCACAUGAUGCCAUUGAUGAAGAUAAUACACAACCUUAGGUUUCAUUACUCGUAUAUUUAUUAAAAGCGCAUAUAUACAUAUAAUUGCUCAUGCCUAAGGCUGUACAUAAAUAUACAAUCUUAAAAGUGAAGUUACUCAUAAGUUACUCAUAAUAAUAUUAGACAAAAUUUAAUUAUAGAAAAAAACAUCAGAUAAAAAUCAGUGAUUUUAAAAAUUUUACCAACUUGAUUUAGAAAGUUAAAUUGUGAAGCUUCUAGCAAAUUAUCAUUUUAGAACAACUUUACAACAGUCAGAUUAAAUUAUUUGGGCUUGAUGUCUUUGGUUUUAAAGUUAUAUUUAUGUAAUCCUUUUGCGAGCAUUUUUUAAUCUCCUUAAUUUAAAUUCAUAUUAAAUCCAUCAGUAAUGACAAAACUCACUAACUUAAAUGUCGAUUUACCUCAAACUCUAAAUCCUCAAAUAAGUACUGCUGCACUGUAUAAAAUUUUUGGAACUUAAGUGCAGUGCUUAUUAGAGAGCAGUGCUUACUAAAAAAAUAUUGGCAUGAUGCUUUCCAUGCCAGUUGCCAUGUUACAUAUCUUGCAUAUUUCUGUAGUUUGGUAGGCAUAUAAUAGACCCUACAUCAUCGUAAAUAAAGGUUACAUGUGCCUGUCUUCAUUUUGUUAUUUAUUAAUUUGAACACCCUGUUUCUCUCUGUUUUACUACACACAAUGUAGUAUGUACUCUUGAAUAAGUGCAUCGGUGCUUAUUCAAAAUAUAAUAAUCAAGAGCGGCACUUAGUGAAAAAAAAAAUCACAUUAUUCGAGGAUUCAGGGUAAUUAUAGACAAAACUUUGAAAACUAAUGUUUGUUUGUUUUGUUUUAUUAUUUUUUUUUACCUCACACAAAUUAUAUUAAACAGUACAAACUUAAUAAUACAAAUGAAAUAAGAAAAAAAAACCUAAAUACUGGUAUACUGGGGUUUAGCCAGAAAAACGAAGCCAGUGGGCAUGGCGCUGAGCCGAUGGGUGGGCCACACCCCCUCCCAAACAUAAGAAAAAA
rnacentral:lncRNA from 1 species